AUACCUUUCUCGGCCUUUUGGCUAAGAUCAAGUGUGGUAUCUGUUCGUAUCAGUUUAAUAUCUGGUAUGUGGGCCAAUGGCCCACCUCCUUUAUUAAAUUAAUUUCUUUAGAGGGAGAGCCCACCACAGUAGCUUGCUGCUGUGGUUCUCGCACGUUGCCCAAGUGAUGCACGACUGCAUGGGCCUGGCGUACCCCAU
rfam:Prunus persica cultivar Lovell chromosome G2, whole genome shotgun sequence.